GACGAACGCUGGCGGCGUGCUUAACACAUGCAAGUCGAACGGAAAGGCGCUGCUUGCAGGGUACUUGAGUGGCGAACGGGUGAGUAACACGUGGGUGACUUGCCCUUCACUUGGGGUUAAGCCUGGGAAACUGGGUUUAUUACCCAUUAGGCGCCAUGGUUAGUGUGAUGGUUGGUCAGAUUUUUCGGUGUCGGAUGAGCCUAGGUCGGAUUAGCUAGUUGGUGGGGUAAAGGCCUACCAAGGCGGCGAUGCGUAACCGGUCUGAGAGGAUGAUCAGUCACACUGGAACUGAGACACGGUCCAGACUCCUACGGGAGGCAGCAGUGGGGAAUAUUGGACAAUGGGCGAAAGCCUGAUCCAGCCAUGCCGCGUGUGUGAAGAAGGUCUUCGGAUUGUAAAGCACUUUAAGGUGGGAGGAAGGGCAGUAAGUUAAUACCUUGCUGUUUUGACGUUACCAACAGAAUAAGCACCGGCUAACUUCGUG
rnacentral:rRNA from 1 species